UGAGGAAUAUUGGACAAUGGGCGCAAGCCUGAUCCAGCAAUGCCGCGUGCAGGAUGAAGGCCUUCGGGUUGUAAACUGCUUUUGUACGGAGCGAAAAGGUCUGCCCUAAUACGGUGGGCUCAUGACGGUACCGUAAGAAUAAGCACCGGCUAACUACGUGCCAGCAGCCGCGGUAAUACGUAGGGUGCGAGCGUUAAUCGGAAUGACUGGGCGUAAAGCGUGCGCAGGGGGGGAUAUAAGACAGAUGUGAAAUCCCCGGGCUCAACCUGGGACCUGCAUUUGUGACUGUAUAGCUAGAGUACGGUAGAGGGGGAUGGAAUUCCGCGUGUAGCAGUGAAAUGCGUAGAUAUGCGGAGGAACACCGAUGGCGAAGGCAAUCCCCUGGACCUGUACUGACGCUCAUGCACGAAAGCGUGGGGAGCAAACA
rnacentral:rRNA from 1 species